AGAAUUGCUAGACUUGUUUAAACUUGUCACGUAGGAUUCGUUGCUAGAUUUGCUUAGACUUCGGGUUGGUUAUCCUGUGUGUGUGUAAAACUUUCGUCGUUUUAGUGUCUGCAAACAGUGCUUCACUGGUUUCAGAGUAUUAUUUAUUGCUAAGUGCAGCAUAAUUUAUUUGCGCUGUACAGAAGUUGCGUUUGUUCCCGCGCAACCCUGAGUUUCGGUUUCGGGUGACCACGUGACUAGCUUUGUUGUGAUAAGUAGCAUUAAGGCGUGGCUGCUUUUUUCCACUGAACGGCUCGUAAAAGUUGUUAUUUAUUGGACUUAAUGCUGACGCCGAAGCGGCAGCGAAGUGGUGGCCCUCGUGUGAAGCCCUCCUUGUGUGAAGACCUACUUGGGUAAAGACCAGCGAGUCUACCUGUGCGAGUCCACCGAGCAAGGACACCGACAAGGCACUACUCACCAAAGCACUUAAGUAUUUUUCUAUUCUAUCUCUUUUAUUAUUUUACUUAUACAUACAUACUAACAUGUCUAGUUCACUAAUAACACAUGCCUUCAAGCACAUCCCUGUUAUCUGUUGUAGACCGUUCACAAGAUACAGAUGCAAGACAAAACGCAACCCACACAACCUACGGCCGCUUUGCACUUCAACACCUGCUCCACUCUCGUUCUCAGUGGGACUCUGGAACUGCCAGUCUGCUGUGAACAAAGCUGCCUUCAUUCCGGCUUUAGCCACGCAGUCCACCCUCAGCAUCCUGGCACUGACAGAGACAUGGAUACGUCCUGAGGAUACAGCAACACCUGCUGCUCUCUCUAACAACUUCUCCUUCUCCCACACCCCUCGACAUACUGGUAGGGGUGGGGGAACAGGUCAGCUGACAAGCUUUCUUGAGGAAUUGGAUGUCCUGCUGUCCUCCUUGCCAGAGGAUGGCAGGCCACUUGUGGUUCUUGGUGAUUUCAACAUACACCAGGACAAACCCCAGGCCAUUGAACUGAAUACUCUUCUGGCCUCAUUUGACUUGGAAAGACUACACACCACAGCAACUCACAGACCAGCACGGACUACACCACCCAGCCCCUGGCUGUCUGACAUCCUUCGUGAACAUCGGACUGUUCUCAGGGCAGCUGAGAGGAGAUGGCGGAAAUCUAAAGAUCCAGCUGAUCUAGCCCAACGACACCACAGUGACCGUUCGAAUCGCUGCCUGUCUGGCAGACAUCUCGGCCUGGAUGAAGGAACACCACCUUCAACUCAACCCUGCCAAGACAGAACUCCUUGUCUUUCCAGCCAACCCUGCUGUUGAACACAACAUCACCGUGCAGCUGGGUCCAACUACAGUUUCGCCUUCCAAAGCGGUCAGAAAUCUAGGGAUGGUUUGAGUCAUAUCUCACUGGAAGAUUGUUCAAGGUCUCCUGGAGAGGAGAGGUGUCCAAGACACACCAGCUGACCACUGGGUUUCUUCAAGGAUCAGUGCUUGGACCACUCACUCGGUAUACAUAUCACCACUGGGACCAGUCAUGGCGGCACAUGGCUUUUCUACCACUGAUAUGCAGAUGAUACGCAGCUCUACCUGUUGUUCCAGCCUGAUGACCCUACUGUCUCAGCUCUAUCUCUGCCUGCCUCUCUGACAUUUUGGCCUGGAUGAAGGAAUGUCACCUUCAGCUCAACCUUAUUAAGAUAGAACUCUUCGUGAUCCUAGCCAACCCAUCUGUUGACCACAACAUCACUAUUCAUCUUGGUUCAACUACACUAACACAACCACAACAGCCCAGAACCCUGGAGAUGUGGUUGAUGACCAGCUUCAUUUCACUGCACACAUCUCAUCAACAGCCUGGUCUUGUAGAGUCAAGCUUUACAACAUCAGGAAAAUCAGACAUUUCCUGACCAAAUAUGAUACACAGCUCCUGGUUCAAGCUCUGGUCAUUUCAAGACUGGACUACUGCAAUGCUCUUUUGGCUGGCCUUCCAACUAACACAAUUAAGGCACUGCAGAUGGUCCAGAAUGCAGCAGUGUGUCUGAUCUUCAAUCAGCCAAAAAGGGCUCAUGUCACCCCUCUCUUGAUUUCACUCCAAUGGUUACCUGUAGCUGCCAAUUCAAAGCUCUGGCUUUGAGGACAGCCAAUGGAACCGCACUCUUUUACUUCAAUUCACUUUUUCAGGUCUAUGCCCCAACUUGCUCUCUCCAGUCUGUGAACAAGUGAUGCCUGGUGGUCCCAUCACAAAGAGACUCAAAGUCCAUUUCACGGUCAUUUUCUGUCUCUGCUCUUCUGGGGUGGAAUGAACUUCCAACCUCCACACAAUCUGCUGUUACUUUCUCAACAUUCAAGAAUCAACUGAAAACACAACUGUUCCACGAGCACUUAACAAACCCACCCUAAUUGCACUUACCACUGCACUUAACUGCACUUAAUGUACUAAAAAAACUAUAAUAAUUCCUUGUCUGUCUGUUUCUUUUGUGCUAGCACCUUUACUACUUAAGCCACUGUAAGAACUUGGUAGUCCUAUCUUGCAGAUGUUGUAAAACUUUGUGUGACAAAUUGCUUGUUAUGUGUCUCACUUGUAAGUCAUUUUGGAUAAAAGCAUCUGCUAAAUGACUAAAUGUAAUUCUGUCACAGGUCUAGGGAUAGAAACAUUAUAAAUAUUACACUAAAUUGUCUUCCACUGUGACUGGACCAUGAAAUAGUCAUUAUACAAUACUGACAUCCAGUGGUAGAACAUAACAUUUCAGACCAGAAAAAUGCAAUGCAUGUCUCUAAAAGCUUACACAAGAGAGGGAGAGUUAAGAAGCUACAUGUCUGAAUAAAAAGUACUUAAUUUGUAAUUUUGUGACAGUAGCGAUGGAGUUGUUAUUUAGCUUACUUAACAUAGGUCUUUAAAAUUGGCUUUUCACAGCAGCUAUAACAUUGAAUUAAUUAAUGAAUUAAACUGACAGGUGGCCUGUCAUUUCUCUUACAACAAAUGAAUUUAAGGAGGAAAGUUUGUAUA